rnacentral:sRNA from 1 species
CCCUAGCCCUGAUAGAAGUGGAAAUCCUUUUGUGCCGGGGUUCGGCAGAAAAGAUUGAAACGGAUAGCAGGAUUAGCU